rnacentral:lncRNA from 1 species
CUAAUUUAGGCAAUCUGAAAAUGAAAGGUCGAUGCAAUUCACAAGGCACAAUAUUUCUAGAUUCUCAUUCAACAGCCAGCUCCACCCCCCUCCCUAGGCCCACUCUCACCAUCACCUCCAAAGGUCAUGAGCUCAGAUCUCAAACUGCACUUUUUAAAUUUCAAGAUACCAGUCCGAAGGACAAAGCACUGAGUUCUAGAAAGAGAUAACUUAAACUCGAUGGCUGCUACCUAGAUUCAUUUGGUUCGGCAAAUGUUCAUUGAAGGCAGUCUUUUCUGUGCUAACCACUGGAAACCAAAAGAUGAAUAAGAGAAGGCCCUGCCCUCGUGGGAGAUUUGCACUCUUUCAGCAUUGUGUGCUUUCAAUGACUUAGAGAAAGCCAGUGGGUGCUGUGGGUGAUGCUGCCAAACCAAAGACCUAAACCACAGAGCAUGGGCC